CCGCGUGAGGGAUGACGGCCUUCGGGUUGUAAACCUCUUUUAGCAGGGAAGAAGCGAGAGUGACGGUACCUGCAGAAAAAGCGCCGGCUAACUACGUGCCAGCAGCCGCGGUAAUACGUAGGGCGCAAGCGUUAUCCGGAAUUAUUGGGCGUAAAGAGCUCGUAGGCGGUUUGUCGCGUCUGCUGUGAAAUCCCGAGGCUCAACCUCGGGCCUGCAGUGGGUACGGGCAGACUAGAGUGCGGUAGGGGAGAUUGGAAUUCCUGGUGUAGCGGUGGAAUGCGCAGAUAUCAGGAGGAACACCGAUGGCGAAGGCAGAUCUCUGGGCCGUAACUGACGCUGAGGAGCGAAAGGGUGGGGAGCAAACAGGCUUAUAUACCCUGGUACUCCACCCCGUAAACGUUGGGAACUAGUUGUGGGGUCCAUUCCACGGAUUCCGUGACGCAGCUAACGCAUUAAGUUCCCCGCCUGGGGAGUACGGCCGCAAGGCUAAAACUCAAAGGAAUUGACGGGGACCCGCACAAUUUUUCGAGCAUGCGGAUUAAUUCGAUGUCUCGCGAAGAACCUUACCAAGGCUUGACAUAUACGAGAACGGCCCAGAAAUGGUCAACUCUUUGGACACUCGCACACAGGG
rnacentral:rRNA from 1 species